GACCACCAGUGGCGAAGGCGACUCUCUGGGCUGUAACUGACGCUGAGGCGCGAAAGCGUGGGGAGCAAACAGGAUUAGAUACCCUGGUAGUCCACGCCGUAAACGAUGAGUGCUAGGUGUUAGGGGUUUCGAUACCCUUGGUGCCGAAGUUAACACAUUAAGCACUCCGCCUGGGGAGUACGGUCGCAAGACUGAAACUCAAUGA
rnacentral:rRNA from 1 species